GAACGAGCACAAGUAUCACAAUGAGAAAGAGUACAUGGACUAUCAAAAAUUUUAGGAAUAGUAAAGCUAGAAGGAUGACCUAGACGUUGAUGCCAUAGGGUCUUAUUGUCAAUAUUGUGAACUGAGAAAGCAGCGGAUUUUUGGGGCCGAAAAACAUAGAGUCCAUUGCAAGCUUCACCCGCUUCAAUCAGCCUCUUCAACUGAAGGUCCUGAAAAAAAUAAGUAGAAUAUGAGAAAAUUGCUAUGUAAGAUAAAUGGGUAGUGAGUUGAGGGACGAAGAGGAGAUUAAAACGAAAAGCAGAGACAUAAAUGACAUUAUGUAGUGUGAGGGUUUCUGAUAAAACAAUGGAACCGAUGCCUUCAACGGGAAUGGAGGCUCCCGUGGGAAGUUGAAUCGAUCGAGCCAUAGGUGGUUGUUGAAGAUGAGAAAAAAAGGAACGGCAGUGGCUCAUAUGAUCACUAGCACCAUUGUCGAUGAUCCAAUCCUGUUGUGGAUCGAAAGAGCACGGCAUCGUGGAGGAGUUACCAACGAAAUUUGCAGUCGGAGCAGCAGGGCGAAGGAGGUUCAUCAAUUGCUGAUAAUUUUCUAGUGAGAGGCCUGGGACUGGGCUCGAGCUAGAUCAGGCGAGGUUGGCAGCAGCAGGUCGUUUGCCAAGGAUCGAGGGCUUGCGGUUGUUGCGUGGCUCACGGCCAGGAGGAUAACCGAUGAUGAGCCAGCAACGGUGAUGGGGUUCUCGGAUGGCAAUCGGGGAACUUGUAGCAGACGCUGUUGUUCCUCUUGGAAGAGAAUGGAGAAGACUUUGUUGAGAGGUGGGAGAGGAUCAGUGGCAAGAAUUUGGGUUCGAAGAGCGGCGAACGAGUCGUUGAGUCCCAAUAGAAACUGAAACACACGUUCGUCCUCAACUCUUUUUUCCAAGGUGUUGGCAUCGGUGAGGGUUUGAAGGUUGCUGAGUUCAUCCCAUAAUUGCUUGAUGCUAUUGUAGUAAUCAGGGAUGGAGAGCUGAUUUUGGUGAAGAUUGGAUAUUUCUCGUUUGAGAUGGAAGAGACGAGCAUUGUUGCCAUGGCAAAACCGCGACUCAAGGUCGAGCCAUACAUCUCGAGGGUCAUCAUGGUAGUCCAGAGAAUUGGCUAGGGAAGCGGUUAUGGUGUUUAGGAUCCAAGUGAGGACCAUAUCUUUGGUCCUGCUCCAUUGAGCAUAAUCGUUGGAAGUAUUGGAUGGGGCUUUGAGGGUGCCAUCAA